CACAGAAUUAUACGCAUAUUAUAUGCAUGUGUGUUGUGCUUAUUAACAUGCAGAAAGUAACAGCUUAUGCUUUUCUCUCUAGAGUUGUGUUCUCAAAACUCAGCAAACCACACGUGACUGCAAUUGGUAGCUCCAGGCACCCGACUUGUAUGGGCAGGAACAGCGUGAUCUGGUGGCACAUGGGGUAUUUCUGCCCUGUAGUUGAUGCCCUUGGGUACAGGCACUGUCUGCCAACCCACAGCCAUAAGAGAGAAGUAGGUCCAUCUCAUUUUCCUGGGAAAUUAGCAGUACCAAGAACUGCCUCUUUGAUAUUGCUUUGCAGACUGACAGCAGAAGUUAUGCAUAGCUACGUGCCUGUAGCUGCCCUAGUUUUUGGCAGCAUCAGAAAAACCUGGACAAGAAAGGGGCAGUAGGCUGCUGUGCCUUAUCUCAGCCCUGGUUCUUAUGCAGGAUGAAGCUAUCUUGUCCCUUCUGCUCCAGCCAGCAGCACUAACAAGGCUCUCUGGUGCUCACUGCUUGUUUGUGCUGAUCUGUGGAGGCCUGUCAAGUCUCCCAUGUGGAAUGUGAGCUGACUUUAUGCUGACCCACAACAAGGGUGGUGCCUCAUGGUGGCCCCCUGGCCCAUGAGCCAUAGGCAGCUGAGCCAGCAGUGCUGAGGGGGACGGAGGGGCUGGAGAAGGCAGGACCGAAGCUGUGGUGUGGUACAGCUCCUCUCAGCCCUGUGGCCACCGGUAUCUCCCUGUGCUUCACCCAACCUGAACAGCUCCCAAACUAGUUCUGUGGUUCUCUAGGCUCUGUGUGCCUCUAGGAUGGCCCCUUAGAGAAGGACUCAGCAGCUGUGACCCAGCACCCCUUCCCAUCCCCUGCAAUUACCUGAGGAGGCAGCCUGCCUUUGUGCUGAGCUGCUGGUAAACUCCCAGUGGAUCCUUUGCUGUGUUAAAAGUGGGAGUGUGUGUGAAGUGAACCUGGUUCCAGGGUUUUCCCCGAUACACCCAGUGCUGGCUCUGACUUUGAUCAGCAAAGGGUAGCCACCAGAGGAGGGUGUUUAUUUAUUUUAUUUUGGGUCAGGACUUGAGUGUCUGUGGUGGGCAUCUUCAAAAGCUGCGCUAGCCCCAGCUGCUGUGCAGAUAAUGAUGAGUUGCUCUUUGAAGUUGGGAUCUGUCUGCCUGGUGUGUCAAGCCCUGCUGGCACUGAAGAUCUUUCCUUUGGGAUCAAGGUCUCGUCUGCCCCUGUUAAAUUAUAUGCCAGGCACAAAGCUGCAUUCCUCUUAGGCUGAAAACAAUACAGACUGCAACAGUCCUGCUGAACAGCUUGGACAAGUCCACAAAACUAAAGGGGAAAGUGGGGCUGAACAUUAUGUAGGUCACACUCUUGCCUGGCCAUAAGUAUUAUCUUGGAAGAGUAAAAGGGGGAACCCUAUUAAUGUCUUUUUGCAUGAGGUGCUUUGGUGUCUCCCUGGGAUGGGGCAAAUGGCCAAGCUUCCCGAUUGAAAGGUUUUAAGGUUCUGCAGACCUAUUACCAGGAGCAGAGGCCAUCUGCUUCUCCACUUCUCCUUUCAAAAGCUGUCUGGUUCUCCGGAGCCCUUUUUACACUCACUUGCUUUUUUUCUCCGUAGUUGGAGCUGGCUUAAGCUAAAGCAUCUCUUGGAAACCCUUUACUCAUUCAUGAUCGUACAGCCCAUCUCCUUGCUGAGCUCGCCCAAGCCACCCUGUAGCAGUAUUGCAGCGGAGGUUAGUGGGGUUGUACCUUGUAGGAUUUUUAUCUGAGUUCCCAUAGAACCUUUAUCUCUGGAAAGAAGGAAAAGUGCCAGAAUUGUGUGACAGACUGUGUCCCAGUCUGAAAAUGCUCCAACUCUGAAAAUCCAGGUCCACACCCCUGCAGACAUAAAUGAGCACAACUCCACAGGCUUUGGCAGGGCAACACCAGCUGCCGGCACUGAUUUUCACUAAUAAGGAUAUUUGCUUGCCGGGCAAAUACAUCCGUUUAUACCAGUGAAAACCCAAGGUGACUUCCACCUAGCUACUCCGACAUGUACCGCUGUGACAGUGGUGUGUGCAGGGCUGUAUUAUCUCAGGACCUGGCUUUCUGUGCUGCUGUACCCUUCCCAGCUGGCCACGGUGUAAUGAACCAGCUUCAGGGCUCACAGGUGAGAGGAUUCACUUCAGACCAUGCUCACCCUGCAGCUCAGGGUGUUGUCGACAAGAACCACCAGCACUAAUUGUUUUAUUGUCAUUAUUUUCAUGGUCUCUGUGCUAAGUAGAGGCAAAACUGCAAAUACCUUACUGCAGAAACAUGAAGAUCUUAAUGAUGCCACCAUAUUUUCACUAAAGGGGAUGCUCCAAUUUCAGUUUUGGAGAAGAUGAAGGGUUUGAAGAGUGGCAGAGGAAAGUCACGCUACCCAUAUAAAGUGAAUAACCUAUUUGUGAUCCUUCAGCCUGCUGGUGUUUCUAUAAGGGCAAAAUGAUUUUGCUACCAGUCAGAUAUUGGAAACUUUUGUUAAAAUCCUUAUAAAUCUUUAAUGCUACUAAAGAGCUCUAGUCAAGCAUCCUUAAGGCAGUUGAGCCGCAAGUAACUGUGUUGGGCCCUCCUUUACUGUGAGAUUCUUCAUUCUUCCUCCACCAGAGCUGCGGGCAAACCCACGGUGCUUUGGUUACUCUGUGUGUUUGACCCAAUUACUGUACAGUAUCUGUCAGAUGAGAGCAGCAUAUAAUACAGACGUGCCUGAUCUGGAAGCUAAUUAGUAUUUCCUUUGUGACUUGGGAGCAGGGUGAGAAGGAGGUGGGAAGAGGGGGAUACAGUGAAGAAAGUAUUUCAGGAGCGUGCACUAGUUUUAAUUUCAAGCAUGACUGCGGUCAUUUCUUCCCACAGUUUGAUGCUGAACUUGAAAAAAUAAUCUAUCUAUAUAUCUAUCUACCUACACACAUGUGUGUGCAUAUAAAAAGAAAGAAAUAUAUCUGGAAAAUCGGUGGAGUUUAGAGUGAUGGCAUAUAAUUAAAGAAACAAUCUGUAGCAUAAUAGACUAAGCUGCUCUCACUGUCAGUGAAGAGAGCUAAUGAACCUUUUAUGGACCAGAAAAGAAACAGUGGUGGCAAUCUCACUCUCUAGCUGAUUUGCACUAGCUAGGGAAUGACUUUUAGCCCCAGGCUUGAGAAACGAGUUUUGGGAAGAGCCAUAAUUUCAGUGUCAGUGCUGCCUGGAGGACAUGAAGCACCCUUUACACACUUUGUACGCAAGCUCCUGCUGACCAAGGGUGCCUUAACCCUGAUGGAUCCCUAGGGCCAAGGCCAAGGGUGCACCAUGAAGUAUCAUCUGUAGAUCUGCUGUGUGAGCAGCUCUGAAAACAGGAGGGGUAACAGAUUAUGUACCAACCCCCUCGGCUUGAUGCUACAAAACUGAUUAGUACAUGCCCAGAGUUGUGUGACUUGCUGUACUAGCAAUAUAGAACUGGUUUAGCAAAACUCACUUAGCAUUAGUAGCUAAAUUUGCUGAAGUUAGGCUGCAAGCUGUGAACUUUCACCUAGAUAUGUUGAACUUUACCUAGUCAAGUAAAAGACGGUGGUCCAAUCCAGAAGAUAAGGAUGCUACAUGCAUUAACAGAAGCUGCGACAUUAGAGGUAGGAAAAGAAACAGCCCCCCUAGAGACAAUGAAAGGACCCAAUGAAGACCGGGAAGACCCCAGACCCUAAUAUUAUUACUGGUCCGAACUGUUGCAUGAGGGGUGGGGAAAUUGGAUUGUAAAGGGUAUAAUUGCCCAGGGAUGUCUUUGUUUGAGGUCCUCCUUCAGAGGCACCCAGCUCAAGCUCCAGUGCUAUUGAUUAAAAGGACUUUUCUAGAAGAAUCUUUUUUUGGCUUAUUGAUUCAGCAGAAACCUAGAGUGGAAACCCUGUUAUGGUGGCUGGCAUGUGGAAUUCCCAUAACACCAGCAAACACACCAUGCCCCAGGCUCACUCCCCAUAUCGGAUGGACCAUACUCUGCACAGACAAUGAAUAUACGUAUAUCCCCAGGAUAUAAGGGACUUACCAUGCAUAUGGUAUAGACACAACAUAUAUGUGCUAAAGGGUCAUUUAUCCAGGAUUUCUGUCCAGCUUGGGUCCGUGGGUGACCCACGAUGCAGGAGCCGGUAAGUCUGUAUUUGCAGGGGACGUGUUAAUUAAUAAGGGGCUUCCCUGGAGUGAUCAAAAAAGACCCAACACCGUGCAAGGGAGCACAGGCUAGGAGAAGUGCUGCCUCUCAGACCAGACGUCAGUCCAGAGCUUUGAUGUUUAACAACCAUUAAAAUGGAAAAAGCCAUUUCUCAGAAGGAUAAUAGCCAUUUGGCUGAGUUCUCCGUUGGGCAAUUCCACAUGGGCUUCUGGCUGCUGUAACGUUUACUGAGGUUUUGAAAUUCUCUCUGCUAAACAGAGACAAUAUUGCAAACACCUUAUUGUGGAAAUGUCGAGAUUUUUGUGAUACUAGUAUAUUUCUCUGAAGUAUAUUUGUGCUGCAUUUCCAGCUCUGGAUCAUCCUAUUUGCUCUGAAAAGCUGUUCUGCUGUAGCUCUGGAUGCUGCAUGGUUAGGAAAUGGUAUCUUGUCUGAAAAUAUUCCUAGGCAGGGAACAGCGUAAUGAAAAACUUGGCCAUGUUUUAUGGCAAAAACUUUUUUCCAGAGGAGUCGUUCAGAUUUAGAGGCAGCAGAAUGCUUAUUGCUGGUAUUGUCAAUUUAUUUGUGUAGAAAUCAGACAAGCAGCCGUUUUGCAAAGCACUUAAAUUGCCCCUUUCCCUGCUUUUCAGAAUUAAAUCUUUUGGCUUUUUGAUUUGAAUGGAAUUUUGAAUUUUAACAGUGACAUUUAAGCAAAAAGCCUUUUACUAGAGAAUCCCUUAAAGAAAACAUUUGAAGCUGAGACUGAAAGUGUUAUUUACCUGUAAACAAUGUUUUUGAACCAUUGAUUACCUUUCAUAUUUUUUUAAAUGGAAUUAGCUUUAUCUUUACAUUAUAUUUUUUUCUGUCUGAAUUGUGCACAAGCUGGAAAAGCAAUGUUCUUGGAGCUCUAUUAGUAAGUGUUAUGAGAGCCUGUGGGCUGCAACUGAUGAAAAGCUACUUUAUAAGUAGAACUUCAGAUUAUUCUGUAUACUUAGGAAAUGUAUUUUUUCCCCUCUGACUUGUGCUACUGCAUUGAUAUGGGAAAGUGGCAUAUUUUGCUUUAGGUACUAGAAACUUAUAUUUGAAGAUGCAACUAUAAAUUUGCUUUUUCCUGCUGUUGAAAUGAGGAGGGAAAAAAAAUAAUCUGUGGGUUUUUUUUUUUUCCUGUUCAGGCAGAUCUGCCUGGCUUGUCAGAGAAAUAUGCAAACCCUUUUUGAGGUUUUGUAUUCCCUGGAGUCUCCAGAUUGGAGGGACUUAGACCUUAAAAUGUAAUUUUGCUGACAUUACUGGCUGUAUAAUUGCAUCUGGAAUGGGUUUGUAGCCAUGAUGCCCACAUGGACAUAGCCCUUGUUGAGGCAGCUGAGUGUGUUUGUUUUCCAGAUGGACACAAGGGACAUCCCUUAGUGAAACAGCGAAUGGUCCCUGACUCGUGUCACUCCUGACUGUGCCUGGACUAUAUGAGAAAUGCUGGAUGGGGAGUUGCCCUGGGCCAAAACUGUAACAAGAGUCUUUCUCAGGGUUUAACAGCACAUGGGAGACUGCUAGAGUUUGGUCACUGGUAAAGUUGUUGCUGGAGAGUUUAUCCUGGUUUUUUUCUCAGAUCAGACUUCUCCAGUGCACCAGCCUGCUCUGGAGGGUUUAUCUUUGUAGCUCAUGAGGAAAGAAGGAUUUGCUUCCAGUGACAGCACAGAACAGAGUCUGGAGAGAUCUGGUGUUAAAACCUACCUCUUUCGGGGUCAACAAUUAAUGUAUUUGCUAAAUUAUAUCAUGAGUCAUUCCAUCAUCUGUAAAUUAUGAGAGUGGUAGUUUUGUUUUCUCAUCUUCCUUGAGACCUUCAGAACAGGUAUCUGGAGGCACCCAAGGCAUCCAUAAGAGGAUGGAAGUUAUGAUGCUGAUGCAAUGAGAGACCUGUGUUCUCCUGGAGCAAUAUUUGGGGCCUGGUGAUAUACCCUGAAGCAUCUCAAAUGGCAAGAGACACUUCUGUGCGGGUAGCUGAACUAAGUCUGCUUCUCAAAAGCAGUGAUCACGUCCAUAACAAGGCUGCCCACAGGUGAGUUUCAGGUAUGAACUAAGAUACUCCAAGGCUUUUCAAGGCUUGAAUUGGAAGGCUGGGCUGGCAAACCAUCAGUGGAUUAACUCAGUGGGUUUUCUUUUUUUUUUUUUAAUACGGCUGAUUGCCUGAAUACAAGAAGGAAGGGAUUGCUCUACACCAUUUUCUUUGACAAAGAAGUCACUUGCAAAAUUCAGCUUAAUUUCAGAGCAGCCCAGAUUGAUGAUUUCAUCACAAAAUAGUCAUGACAAUGCAUAAUCAUGGGCUUGAGUAUAUUUACAAAUGAACAAAAGAUGAGACCUUUUCUAGUGAAUAAUAGAGGGCACAGAUACAUUCAAAAUUAUUCUGCCUUUCUUUAGAUAUGUACUUAAAAGAACCAUCUUUAUUCCAGCUCCUUUAACUUUUUUUUUUUCCCCCAUAGGAGAAUCAGGGUUUUGCCCAGGUUGCUUGAAUAAAGAGCUGUUUCUAACACUUGCAUAUUGAUGCCUACAGCAUUGCAAAUGUAAUGUAUGCACCUCAUUUAUAUGAAUCAUUUAAGAGCAUAGAUCCAUAGAAGAACAUAGAAAGAUUAGCCUCUAUAUUUGAUCCAAGUCCUAAUAAGGCCAAUGGAGAGACUCAUCAGGCAUUUCUCCUAGACCAUCUCUGCCUUGUAACUGGAAAGGCUACUGCCUACUAUGGUUGGACUAGGGUGCAGAAGGUACUGGUUUUGUUCCUGACUUUGACCACUGGGUAGCCUUUAACUAGUUGUGCUGUUCCCUUAUGACUCCAGUUUUUCUACCUGAAAAAGAAAACAAAUGCUAAUGAGUUCCUUGGAAAAUGAUUUGAGGUGAGUUCCCAACAGAUCAGGGUCAUUAACUACUCCUUAAAGUGAGGUCAUCAAAAUUAAUGCUUAGGUGGUGGUUAACCCUUGAUAGAUAUAAUCAGCUGCUGAUAAAACCCAAAGCCACUCCAGGCGGAGGUAUUUUAGCUGCCUUGUUCAAAAUUAACUUUGCUACCUGCAGGACACAGUAUUUUGCUGUAGAAACUUGCUCCAAAUUUCAUGAAAGAUGUCUUUGUGAAAGCACUGGCUCUUCUGCUGAUGGCAACGUACAACCUCACAAGCCAAUGCAGCCCUCCUGGAUUCAAUAAAGUAGGUGUUCAGUUAUCUCCCACCCUUGCACAGCCUGAUUAAUUUGGCAUUUUGGGAAACUGUCUGCUAGCUUUGGGUUCACGUGGAAAUACACCCAGGAAGGAGGGUGGGCAGCAUCCCUCUGGGUAAAGCCCUCACCUAAGCUGUGUGAGGCUAAAAGCUUGACUCCAGUCUGAAAACUGCAGGCAGCAAGCUGAAUGCCCUCGUGUGGCUUAGUUACCAGGCUUACAGCUGGAUGCUUGGUACACGGGUGGAAGUUGAUUCAUUCUUAUAAAUAUUGGAGUAAAAAAUAUCAAGGGAAGUUUUAGGCUUUUUUUUUUUUUUUUUUUUUUUUAGUGAGCACUUUUAUAUGGUGCCUCUUGCUGAGACCUAACUAAUCACCCAAGGAAAAAAUGAGUGCCAUUGAUUCAGUGAAUGAAAAUGUAAAUAGAGGAAGAGAUGUCAGUGAUGAAUUUGACAUCUGCGUUAUCUUCCAAAGCAUGAUUUGUGCUAAUUGAGCUAGAUGAGAGUUCUCAGUAUCUGAGGACAGCAGCAGAGAUAAUGUUCUCUGUUGCCCAUUCAGGAGGAUGAGAAAGACUCAGUACAACACUGCAGGACAGGGCUUCUGAGGAGGUGUUUGAAUUAGGGGUGCAUCCAAGCCAGGAAGCCCACAGAGGACGCUGCAGCACGAUGUAGAUUGGCUGAGAUGCACCAAAUGGCACUGUUGGCCACACAGACGAGUUCUCCAUUAACGCAGCAUGUUUGAAAGAAGCAGCUUGAACUUGGAUGGAGAGCUCUACAUCUCAUGAGGUGGCCUUUUGCCAUGUCUCUGCACAAGCCUAGGUUUCCCUACAUGUAAAGGAAUGGGCUGCAGUCCUGACCUCCCUCAAAGCACGCCUUGUGGCUCCUGGCUGGGCAGCUCUGUGCUGCAGCUCUGUUAAACCUCGUGAGCAUCUUCUCAAUGAUUUCAAGCAUAAUUCAGCCAUUGCUUGCUACCACUGGGUCAAGACCUUAACCGUGACACCCUUUGAAUUUCUGCAUGAUCUGGAAGUUGCCACCAAUCACCGGGAAACUGGGAAAUAUCUAAAUCUCAAGUGUCUGACUUUCAGUUGGCUUUUUUGGGGGUGUGUUUGUGGAAAUGUUCUUUGAAGGUACUAUGAAAUACGUAAUUUUUUCUGCAGAAUCUAUGAGGACACAAGCUGUCCUAGCCCGUUUCUCUCAAGGGUGGGGAAUGAGCCCCUGACCCUUGCAUUUAGCAGUGCAGACAUGAGCAUGCUGAUGAGGGCACUGGUGAGGUUGCAUGGUCAGCUGCUUCUUCAGCAGGAGCAUGUUUCUCCAUCUGUGCUUCCCUCUGACAUCCCAUAGCUUUGUGGACACCACACAAUUAUGCCCUGUGAUGGUUUUUUUCAGUCCAGAGCUGGUUUGGAGAAGCAGCAUCAUCACUCAUGUGGGUUGCUGCAAGGCAGAGGGGCAGCAGGGAAAGGCAAAGCCGGACUAUAGCCAUUUUUGCUAUCGAAAAGACAUCUGCUGCUUGAGGUGACUGACCCUUUUGCAUCCUAUGUUCCUUGACAGUGUGAGGGACUGAGCCAGGAGAAAAACUUCCAGCAACAAACCUUUCAUCUGUUGCAUGAAAGUCCUCAUCUGGCUUUGGUGUUUUGAGUGCAAUGGCUCAACUAUGCAAGGUCACCAUCCUGAGAGCAGCCACUUCCCUCCCCCUCCCACUGCCUCCUGCAUUUAUGGGCAGUGACGUAAUGUGCAAGAGUGUUUACAUCCUCCUUAAGAGUAACCGUCUACAGAAAAUAAAACAGGAAAAAAUGCAGCUCUAGCACUGUCACUUCAGUUCUUUGAUAACCAUAUGCAAGGAAAUAAAAUUAAUAUAUUCCCAGGUUACUCGCCAGCUGCAGUUCAACUUGAACUGAGGGAGAGGGGGUCUCAAAACCAUGUUGAAAUGGCAGGUGGCAGUGGCUAACCAUUCCCUGUUCCACCAGAGGCAAGCAGCACCUGUUAUUAGUUGCCUUUUCCAGACAGUCGUUCGGAAGGUGCAGGAGCAAGUGGUUUGAGCCUUAGUGAAGAAGCUGAAGGCAGAACCUUCAUGUCCAGGAAGAUGGAGGCAAUGGAGAAGGUGGAGGAAAUCAGUCGGUGUGUGGACAUCCUAAAAGCCAUAGAUCUUGGCUGUAUCUUCAGCUAUGGUCCUGGUUCUCCCACAGUGGCAGCUUUAUCCAGAGUUUGACGUAAAUUUUUUUCUGUUUGGAAGCUUGGAAACCGUAGUGUUGUCCUUGGGCUGUACUGCCUUGUCCCUUGUCACUACCAGUAAAUUAUGAUUCAGAUCAAUAUAUUCUGUACCCACGUAAAAAAGACUCCUUUUUAUGUAGUGCUCACAGUCACGAUAAAUCACAUCACGCAACAGCAGGUGGAUUGUCCUGGCUUGUCAUUACACAUUGCCAUUGCUGACAUGUCCAGCUGAGAUAAUCCGAGUAAACCCUUUGUAUUCAAAGCAAGAAAUAGGCACUUUGGGUGAGAUUUUCAGCUGCCUAAACACAGGCUUGAAGAGUCAUAGUAGAUGCUGUGAGGUUUUCUUCCCCGAGUACAGCUGUCCUUACAAAGCGAUGUGUAUGUGAUGUAAGUCGCGUGUUACCUCUGUUCCCUUGUAGAUGUCUGCAACACUUUGGGGGCCUCAUGUGGCGUUAGACACAAUGGAGUCCUAUUAAUGUAUAAUUAAUCUGAUGUAAUUUAGCUGCCUGCUUGAGAUGAAAUGAUUAUAUUGCUGGUGCAUUGCUUAACGUUGACCAGAUCUCCAGUGACUAUAAAGAGAACUUCACUAUAAAAGUGCAAUCGGGGAAAUCAAAACAACAUAAUCCCAGCUUCAAUAGAUUAAUAGUAAUGUUGAAAUUUGGCCCUGGGAAUUUUGUCGGUCAUAGCCAGUUUCACAGACCCUGAGCCACGUUGCUUCUUUUUUUGGGGGCCAUGAAAUUCAUAUGUGAAUAAGUGCCCCCCUAUAACUCUGUAUCUGAGGACAGAGUUAGUAGAGAGAAACACACAUCUCUUGUCACAUGUGCAGAAGGAAAAAUGGAACAAGCAAAGGUCUGAUUUGUUAUUGCUCCCAUCUGGAGGGUAAACCUGACAUUUCUAUCUGCCAAUAGCAAUUUAUUGUGAAGCAAACCCACAGGGAAGGUUUCUUCGUGCUAAAUCAACCAGCAAAAGAAAUGAACCUUAUGUUACAACCGAAUAAGAAACUUAAUCACAGUCUACAUGUCUGGGUGCAUAAGUAAUUUAAAUACAUGCAGCUGCAAUUUCAAUAUAUUAAACCAAAACCUCCCAAACAGCCCCGUGCAAAAGAAAAACUAACACUCCGUUAGUAAAGAAAUGGAAUAUAUUCAAGUGCAGUUUUGUUCUCAUAUGAUCUUUGGGGAGAGAAAGAACUUUUUAUGACCUACAAGGAAAAUUACUAUGUUAAUGAUCAUCUGGUGGUUCUUCUAUCCCAGCUAAUAUCUCUUUACUGGAGCCAUGGUCAAACUCACUCUCUGCUGAACCCACGUUGCCCAAAACAUUAUUCUAAAGAGUGUUGUCAAUGAGGCAAGGUCAGGAGUUUUAGGUAUAUUAUUAUAUAUAUAGGAGGUAGCAAAUGUUUUCUUUACUUCUUUGAAAAGCUCUGAAUUUGUAUUUUACUUACAAAUGGUAACCUUCCCUGAGUGCUAAUGUAGUAAGGGUAAUUAUGUAAUAAAAAAAUAAUAAAUAAAAAAAUAAAAAAAUUUGGUAAUAAAAAAAAAAAGGACAAGCAGCAAUGUUCUUUCUGCUUGUAAGUAUAGUUUUAUAUUAUAAUACUCAAGGUUUUCAUACUGGGUGGUCACCAAAAAAUUCUUAUUACAAAAAUUUCUAUUCAGUAUUAAUAUAGAACAUAGCCAAGCAACAAUUUUGGUUUUUAAGGGAAGAAUAUUGGGUAUACCGUGAGGCUUACAGGUGUGUCUUUCAAGCAAAACUGUAAAUAUUGCUGUUUCCUCCUCCAGCUUUGAUUUGAAAUGAGUUUGUGUAGCGUCUUCCUCUUCAUCAUCGUAUCUUUUUAUUGGCAUUUCCUCCCACAAUACACAUUUUCAUUCACAAGAGCUUGUUACUAAUUUUUGUGUUAACUGAUUUGACAGGAACUAGACCCGCUGUGUCUCAGAGGGUCAAGGGCAGCUUUGGAUGCUGGUGAUCCAUCCGUUCAUUGAACGUCCAGGUUCCCCUUGGCAACGUCUCUGUAGCCAUCACCUUAGACCUUUGCAGUUCACAUCCAUUGGGAAUUUCUAAACCCUUCUUUACAGUUUGCGUGCAAUGCAUGCUGGGAGGGGGGGGGGGCUUUGCAUGGUGGGACAUUUUGUCCCUUUCAAAGAGAAGAAUUGGUAUUCCACUGUCUGCUCUGUCUUUCAGUUUCCAAAGUCCUAAAUCAGACAAUGUGGAGUUAUUUGAGUAUAUUAUGUCUCUCAGUUGCCUCAGUGCACCUGCUGCACCUGGACAGAUGCAUUUCCCCCGAAACUGAAUUAACUACAUUGACAUCAGCUCCCUGGAAAGGCGUUCAAAUGAGUGGCUCUGACAUUAACGACUGCGUAAUAGAUACGUAAAACUGGGUGAGAGGAAUUUCACCCAGAAAGUCAAUAUUCAAUAACAAUUGCUCUUUUCUUUCUGUUUACAAAGCUGACAAUUGUUUUUCACACUCUGGUCCACUUCACAGAGAGAAAACAGUGAUGCUCUGUGUGCAAGGAAAUGUGGUUUUUUUCAGCUUCUUGCCUCCGUAGGGAGACAAGGGUGUUGCGGAGAGAGGUGCUGGGUGGAAGGUGUUUCCACAUGUGGUGGCUAAAUGCAACCUGUGGUUGAAUGGGGGGUGUCAGAUGCAUUCUCCUGGCUGAUGGUAGGGGUUUGUACCUGCCUUGUUCAGAUUGUAUGAAGAAAGCAAAGCUAUUUAACUGAAGUCCUCACCUCUGAGGAGGUCAGAAGAGGUUCAGAAUAAUGAGAAGCUGCGUUGUCCACCUCACCAAGUUGUACUGCAUUAUUUUUAAUUUGCUUUCCUUCUGGUUCAUGAAAAGAAAACAACUUUGGUAAUGAGUUUCUGCAGCCAGAUUCUCUGUACAAUAGUGAGGACUUUGUAAUUUAUUUUCAUCGCUGAAGUGCCUCAUACCUAUGUGUCAUACUACACUUCACCAGCACUUUGCAAAUUCUUUGCUUUUUCAAGUACUUGUUUUUCUUUUGACAAGAGAUAUGUUCUAGCUGAGUGUGUGUGAUCCACUUGGAACCCAUCUCAAAUGCUCCCUAGGAAUUUCUCCCUUGCCAGAGUAAUUGCUACUUUACUCUUUGACUUAAUAACGCCUAAAAAUCUUUUUCACUGUGAAAAGGCCAUAGCACUUCAGAUAAUAUUGAAUCUGAAGAAUUUCACUCUUGUUCAAGCCUUGGGAAACUUCUAGAACUGGAAUAUUAUUAUGGAUCUAAACAGCUCUCAAAGAACAUUCCAUUAAUUUACAUUCUGCAGUCUAAUUAGAUUGGCAUUUAAAUAAUGAGAGUUACUGAAUUAUGUAUGUAUCUUUUGUUGACGUUAGGAAAGGUGCCCAUUGACUCUUACCGCUGCUUAGCUCCACAGAUACAACCCUUGUGCUUCUUCUGCCACAAAAAUGGCAUCUGUACAUACAUAUUAUUAAUCUAUAUACAAAUUAAUCAUCAUGUACAUAAAAAUGAGCUGAUUUAGUAGGACGUUGCAGCAACCAGAAUUAAUUUUGCUCACCAUUUUGGAAACUUCACCCAUGUAGAAAGAUUACUGUAAAUAAACUAACUGCUAAGGCUUCCAAAGAGUUGAAUUUUUCUUACAAGUGGCCACCUUAGACAGCAGAGGUUACUCACCCAGCCCAUAUGAUGUUCUGAGAGGAUGGCCCAGGCUCCAGCUCUUUGGGUUCGGUUGUUUUGCAUAAUGUUACACUUUGUUUUGAUGUCUUAAGUCUUUCCUAACUUGAAUAAAUACCUAAUUUCAGUUGUGAAUUAGACAGACCUGUGAUGCCCUGUAAAGAAGAUUGUGCAUCUAAAAGAUGUACCAUUUGCAAAAUCUACUGCAACAGAGCUCAGCGCCUCAGGUUAGUGAUUAGAACUGACCAGGCUGGAAAAGGGGUGGGAGACCAUGAGCACCAGUUUCUUCCAGUUACAGAAAGUUAUAACGCAGCUGGAAAGAACUGAGGGAUUUCAUAUUCUUCUGUUUAAACCCUAGUAAAUAAAUAAGUCUAAAUCAUCUAUGCCCAAUUAAAAGGACUCAUUCUUGAAGAUCCAGGUUGUUGCUCUCACUACCUAGUUGCUCUGGCUGUAAGGUGAGUUAGUGGAAAAGAGACUAUUGACUUUUCUUCUUUUUUUGUAAAUGCAUUUGAGUUUACCUUGGUUUUUUUCACCUCCCCCUUUUUUUUUUAAUAUAAUUUCAAAUAUCAG